AUUGAACGCUGGCGGCAUGCCUUACACAUGCAAAUCGAACGGUAACGGGCCUUCGGGUGCCGACGAGUGGCGAACGGGUGAGUAAUACAUCGGAACGUGCCCGAUCGUGGGGGAUAACGAGGCGAAAGCUUUGCUAAUACCGAAUACGAUCUACGGAUGAAAGCAGGGGACCGCAAGGCCUUGCGCGGACGGAGCGGCCGAUGGCAGAUUAGGUAGUUGGUGGGUUAAAAGCUUACCAAGCCGACGAUCUGUAGCUGGUCUGAGAGGAUGAUCAGCCACACUGGAACUGAGACACGGCCCAGACUCCUACGGGAGGCAGCAGUGGGGAAUUUUGGACAAUGGGCGCAAGCCUGAUCCAGCCAUGCCGCGUGCAGGAUGAAGGCCUUCGGGUUGUAAACUGAUUUUGUACGGAACGAAAAGCCUUCUUUUAAUACAGGAGGGUCAUGACGGUACCGUAAGAAUAAGCACCGGCUAACUACGUG
rnacentral:rRNA from 1 species